rnacentral:rRNA from 1 species
UAGGGAAUCUUCCACAAUGGACGCAAGUCUGAUGGAGCAACGCCGCGUGAGUGAAGAAGGUUUUCGGACCGUAAAGCUCUGUUGUUGGUGAAGAAGGAUAGAGGUAGUAACUGGCCUUUAUUUGACGGUAAUCAACCAGAAAGUCACGGCUAACUACGUGCCAGCAGCCGCGGUAAUACGUAGGUGGCAAGCGUUGUCCGGAUUUAUUGGGCGUAAAAGCGAGCGCAGGCGGAAGAAUAAGUCUGAUGUGAAAGCCCUCGGCUUAACCGAGGAAUUGCAUCGGAAACUGUUUUCUUGAGUGCAGAAAGAGGAGAGUAGAACUCCAUGUGUAGCGGUGGAAUGCGUAGAUAUAUGGAAGAAUACCAGUGGCGAAGGCGGCUCUCUGGUCUGCAACUGACGCUGAGGCUCGAAAAGCAUGGGUAGCGAACAGGAUUAGAUACCCUGGUAGUCCAUGCCGUAAAACGAUGAGUGCUAAGUGUUGGGAGGCUUCCGCCUCUCAGUGCUGCAGCUAACGCAUUAAGCACUCCGCCUGGGGGAGUACGACCGCAA